CGCAAAGAACGCAAAGAACGCAAAGAACAGAAAUAACCUCAAGAGAGACAGAAACAUACGGCAGAAAGUUAGGUGACUAGUCAAGAACAACAGCGGAGAUAACAGGAAAAAAACGAAAUAACGGUAAUAAUAAUGGAAAUAACAGAAAUAAUAAUGGAAAUAACGGAAAUAAUAACGGAAAUAACGCAAAUACGGAAAUAACCUCCUCAGACACAGAAACAUACGGCAGAAUAUUAAGUGACAGGUCAAGAACAACAACGGAAGUAACGGAAAUAAUGGAAAUAACGGAAAUUACCUCCACAGAGACAGAAACUUACGGCAGAAAAUUAGGCGACAGGUCAAGAACAACAACGGAAAUAACUGAAAUAACGGAAAUAACAGAAAUAACGGAAAUAACGGAAAUAACCUCUGAAAGACAGAAACAUACGGCAGAAAGUUAGGUGACAGGUCAAGAACAAGCACGGAAAGAACGGAAAGAACGGAUAGAACCUCCAGAGAGACAGAAACAUACGGCAGAAAAUUAG
rnacentral:lncRNA from 1 species